rnacentral:rRNA from 1 species
CGCGGUCACUCCUACGGGAGGCAGCAGUGGGGAAUAUUGCACAAUGGGCGCAAGCCUGAUGCAGCCAUGCCGCGUGUGUGAAGAAGGCCUUCGGGUUGUAAAGCACUUUCAGUCGUGAGGAAGGUAGUGUAGUUAAUAGCUGCAUUAUUUGACGUUAGCGACAGAAGAAGCACCGGCUAACUCCGUGCCAGCAGCCGCGGUAAUACGGAGGGUGCGAGCGUUAAUCGGAAUUACUGGGCGUAAAAGCGCAUGCAGGUGGUUUGUUAAGUCAGAUGUGAAAGCCCGGGGCUCAACCUCGGAAUAGCAUUUGAAACUGGCAGACUAGAGUACUGUAGAGGGGGUAGAAUUUCAGGUGUAGCGGUGAAAAUGCGUAGAGAUCUGAAGGAAUACCGGUGGCGAAGGCGGCCCCCUGGACAGAUACUGACACUCAGAUGCGAAAGCGUGGGGAGCAAACAGGAUUAGAUACCCUGGUAG